UGGCAGAUUUUAUUCAGUAAGUAUCUAUACAUGUUUACAUUCUUUGUCUUCUAACAGUCUAUUUCUGAGACUUUAAUAUGUACAAAGAGUAUAAAUAUUGGGAUCUGACUAUGUGGUUGCUGUUGACAGUGAGAUGUCUUGUCUGUCUUUUCAGGCAUUUUAAGCCAACACGAUGGCCAUGGGCUGCCUCCUCCAGUAUCUGCCCUUGUUCUCGUGCUCCUAAGCAAAACCAGGAAACAGCACUGGUCAUCACCAUGUCUGCUAAACAAAUAUGACUUUCUCUCCUUUGACAACAAAAAUCACCUGCACCAGACACCAAAGCAAUGCUGCAGAGCAGCUGAAACAUGCGGCCAAAACUCUCCUUGAGAACAAAGGCAAAAUGGAGCUUCAACAAGGCUGAGAUCUCAGGUAAAGCUUCUCACUCCAGAUAUGCCUAUGGUGGGAUGUUGCUCACAGGAGCAGAGUGUUUGAGCCAGACUGGGUACCGUGAGACCUUCCUGACAAGCCAAAAGGCUGUGCUGCCACUCAACAGGUCCUGGACAGGAUGGAGA
rnacentral:lncRNA from 1 species